GAUGAACGCUGGCGGCGUGCCUAAUACAUGCAAGUCGAGCGAACGGACGAGAAGCUUGCUUCUCUGAUGUUAGCGGCGGACGGGUGAGUAACACGUGGAUAACCUACCUAUAAGACUGGGAUAACUUCGGGAAACCGGAGCUAAUACCGGAUAAUAUUUUGAACCGCAUGGUUCAAAAGUGAAAGGCGGUCUUGCUGUCACUUAUAGAUGGAUCUGCGCUGCAUUAGCUAGUUGGUAAGGUAACGGCUUACCAAGGCAACGAUGCAUAGCCGACCUGAGAGGGGGGUCGGCCGCACGGGAACGGAGACACGGUCCAGACUCCUACGGGAGGCAGCAGUAGGGAAUCUUCCGCAAUGGGCGAAAGCCUGACGGAGCAACGCCGCGUGAGUGAUGAAGGUCUUCGGAGCGUAAAACUCUGUUAUUAGGGAAGAACAUAUGUGUAAGUAACUGUGCACAUCUUGACGGUAACUAAUCAGAAAGCCACGGCUAACUACGUG
rnacentral:rRNA from 1 species